CAAGGUACUUUUAUAUAAUUAAGAGUCUGUUUCUCUAUUUAACCGAACAGGCGAACAGCAAACAAAGAUUUAAUUAGUCAGUUCUGUGCACGGCUUGACUGCCAAGCUUUCUCAAGGUCUCAACUUGCUGGACGCGGAUAUACUCUAACGACUAACGGGCUAAUAACAGCAACAAUUAAAUUCUCAAUCAUACCACGAAGAAGGCGAUGUAGCUCAGACAACAAUUACGCCGGUAGGACCUGAUAUUAAAAAUAAGACUUUUGCCGGCGAAGCAAGUUGGCAGAACAUCUUGGCUGUCAACAACAAGCUUUCGAAUACAUGACUAGUUUGGCUGUUCUUUCAGCGUCGUGUGUGUCCAAAUUCGUCAAAGAUUUUGAUGAAGCCCUUUCAAAAUACUGUUUGUUUGAUUUAUUUUCUGCCAUAAAGCAUAAAAGAAAAGAAAUUCGAAGAAAUCGAUAAUGGAAUUUGUUACGUGCGUUUGACCUUUAUAUUAAUUAUCGCCUUGACCGAGCUAUUUUUAAAACUGUUGUUUAUGUGAACUUGCAACCAAUCAAAAUCCUUCAUAAUGCUGAUCAACCAAUCAGAUUUCCCGUCCACCAGGUGGACGGGAAUC